rnacentral:lncRNA from 1 species
UUAAACUAGAAAAAGAAUGGAAACACCUGAAAUUAUAAGUCUUGAAUUCUCUAAGUUUUUCCCAAAGUCUUCUCCCAAAAAGUUGCAUCCGUCCAAGAGAAACCCUAGCUCUGCCAAAAGGCUUAUUUAUACUGUUCUAAAUAAAAUCCUCCUAGUCAAAGGUCUUAGCAUAAGACUAGGAAACUAAAUAAAUUGAAAUAAAAUGGGAAACAAAAUCCUAAAUUAACUUGGUAAAUUCGCCUAGAAAUCUGCACAGCUACGUUCUGGCCCCAUAUCAGCUCCAAAACUGGCCCAAAAUAGCUGGAUUUAGAGCUUAGACUAUUUUGAACACUUUUCCAGAAGGCCAUGAAGGGGUGGGCACGGUUUGGUUCGGUGCGGUUUUGAGUGAAACCGAAACCGAAACUGAAUUUUUUUGCGGUACGGUUCGGUGCAGUUUUGAAGCCAAAACCGAAAUGAAACCAAACCGUUUGAUUCGGUUCGGUGCGGUUUCAAACGGUUUUGGUUUGGUUUUUAAGAAAAAAUGUACAAUUUGCAAUUUAACAUAUUAAUAAGCAUUUCCCAAUAGCAAUAGGAAAAAUACAUUUGUUAUGUAAACAAUUAGCAUGUUUCAUGCAGUUGUGAUGUUAAAACAUGUUUGUGCAACAAAAGGGUGUCCCUUACAAUGUUUAUCAUAAAACAAGUUGAAUAAAUUUGAAUUCAUUAAACAUGAGCGAAACUUUGAUACUAGAAUAUGUGAUAUCAUGCUUCAAAUGAGUGGACUUCAUUAGAUCAUUGUUCGACUCUUGAUAACAAGAUUAGUCCACCCUUGUACAUAUAUGUGUGUGUGAUGGUAUAAAAUAACAAAUGUCCUUCAAGUUAAUGAACGAAAGAAAAUGAUGAAUGAUGAUAUUCUAGUGUGGUUGAGUCUCAUACUAAGUGUAUGGAUUCUAACAAACAACCAAUUAAAACAUGAAAUCUAAUAUAGACAUUUAAUUAAAUGUUUAUUAAUAUUUGCGGUGCGGUUCGGUUUCGGUGCGGUUUUCAAAAGCCAAAACCAAAACCAAACCGUUUUCUAUGUUGCGGUUCGGUUUCAAAACCGAAACCGUUUCAAAACCGCAAAACCAAACCAUUCGGUGCGGUUCGAUUUGGUUCGUGUUUCGGUUUCGGUUUUUGGUUCUAAGUGCCCACCCCUACAUGAACCCAUUUGAGGUCAUCUUGGACUCCAAAAACGCAGUUUAAGGCCAGAAAUGUCACUUUCAGCAACGCGCACUGCUCCUUCAUUUAAUCGCUAGAAAAUAACCGCUUGGUAGGAAAAUCCCAAAUUUUGUUACGAACAAGCCAAGAGACACGCGAACGUCCUCCAAUUUGAAUUGCUCCAAAAUUCAUCCGUUUGAUCAUAUUUUGCUCCAAAGGAAGUCGAAUAUCCUCUAUUGAAAAUAUAAAUCAAAGUAUCAAAAUUCUACCAAAAUAAUUACCAAAUUAUACUAAAAAUAUGGUAAAAUAUAUAAUAUAAUAUUGACUCAUCAAACCCUACAAAAGCUCUAAAUCCCGAGCUAGCAUUUGACGCUUAUAAAGAAGAUUGACAUAAAGUUCAUAUGCUAGGCUAUAAUUAGGCAGAGUUUAUACUCAGAUUGCUAAUAAAAUCAACUAAUUCACCAAAAUUGAUAUAUAAUCACUUUACAGUAUCAUUAAUUUUAAACUGUGCAAUUAAUACAUUCAUCAUUUCUUGCAUAUACUUCCAACAUAUUCCAGACACUCUUAUACCAGACAAUUCUUUUGCUUAACCAAAGAAACAUAAUUACAAAAUAAGGAAGUAGAUGGUGUUCAAAACCUCAACCAGCUAAAGGCAGCAGAAAUUAUGAUUUACGACAGCAGUUCAGUAUUUGAGGAUUC